rnacentral:lncRNA from 1 species
AAAACUCUCAUGACAGUGACAGAAAUCUCCAAGCGAACCAAGAAUGCAAACCAACUAUGUGCUUUAACCCUGAGGUAUUGUGGCCAUCCAUUAUCCUGUGAGUGCGGGAACUUCAGUCCUGCGUGCUCAUUUGUACCCAGGGAUGACUAAUACAUGUGGGAUAUUCCCUUUGGUAUGUUUAAUAAUUUUAGUCAAAAUAGGAAGCGUACCUACAGUUCACCUCAUGCCAAAUCAAACAAGAUUAGUCACACGAACUCUGCCUCGCUGAUAGGCAAAUUCUGAUGGGGAAAUGUCAAAACAUGACACACAGCAUUUGAUUUGUAGUUGGCCUUCAGGGAGCCUUGGUGUGGCUCUUUCCAAAGGAGAGAAAAACCCAGCCAGGGACCCAGGGGUUUCUGGAAACUUCCACAGAAAGUCAUGCAUAACUGGUUCCCAACUGUCAUCUAAAAGGCCUUUCUCUUGGAAUACCGGAACACACUCAAGUGUCCCUGAGCACCCGUUUCUAGCCUUCUCUUUGGGAAGUCGUGAUAACUCAGUGACAGCCAGAAGUGGAGGCAGAAAAAUGACACUUAUUGGAAGGCCACUAAGACCUUCCACAGGCUUCCCCAACCACUUGCAAGCCAUCUCUGGUAGAGGCCUCACAACAGUCUUCUUAUUUUAGACAAUAAAAAGCCUGGCCAGAAGCAACCAAAGCAAGAAGUCAUAAAAAAGUCAAAACUCAUGUCACAGCUUCAGUUGCCUAACCUCUUACAAAUCCACUGGAGAGGAAAAGAGAACAAAACGGAACGGAAAGGGAGGCACAACAGAGCAGGUUAAAAACUGGGAGUCGAGAAACCUUCCAUCAGAGAAAAAGAAACAAAAGAAAUUACAGCUAUUCUUUUAAUGGAGAGAAAUGAAGACUUCGUAUAUAUUGCAACAGAAGCAACUAUAAAAGAAGAAAGAAAGCAUGGCUAACCCUGUAUUUGGAGGGAGGUGGAGUCGCUACCUGCCACAGUUACAUAAGUGUUAAUAAAGCCAUAGCACUAGUUUUGAAACACUCGGGAAUGCAAGACAUAUCUUAGAAUUUUCUCCUCUGAGUCAGGAAGUUAUUUGUCACAUUCAUUAACUUUUAAUACUGAGUUAGUUUUCUAAACCCUCAUUAUUCCCCUUUAGAAUUUUGUGAGAAAC